GACGAACGCUGGCGGCGUGCUUAACACAUGCAAGUCGAACGGAAAGGCCCUGCUUUUGUGGGGUGCUCGAGUGGCGAACGGGUGAGUAACACGUGAGUAACCUGCCCUUGACUUUGGGAUAACUUCAGGAAACUGGGGCUAAUACCGGAUAGGAGCUCCUGCUGCAUGGUGGGGGUUGGAAAGUUUCGGCGGUUGGGGAUGGACUCGCGGCUUAUCAGCUUGUUGGUGGGGUAGUGGCUUACCAAGGCUUUGACGGGUAGCCGGCCUGAGAGGGUGACCGGCCACAUUGGGACUGAGAUACGGCCCAGACUCCUACGGGAGGCAGCAGUGGGGAAUAUUGCACAAUGGGCGGAAGCCUGAGGCAGCAACGCCGCGUGCGGGAUGACGGCCUUCGGGUUGUAAACCGCUUUCGACUGUGACGAAGCGUGAGUGACGGUAAUGGGUAAAGAAGCACCGGCUAACUACGUG
rnacentral:rRNA from 1 species